UACAGAGGAUGCAAGCGUUAUCCGGAAUGAUUGGGCGUAAAGCGUCUGUAGGUGGCUUUUUAAGUCCGCCGUCAAAUCCCAGGGCUCAACUCUGGACAGGCGGUGGAAACUACCAAGCUGGAGUACGGUAGGGGCAGAGGGAAUUUCCGGUGGAGCGGUGAAAUGCGUAGAGAUCGGAAGGAACGUCAAUGGCGAAGGCAGCCACCUGGCCUCAUACUGACGCUGAGGCGCGAAAGCGUGGGUAGCGAACAGG
rnacentral:rRNA from 1 species